AUCCUCUCGGUACCGCCCUGCA
rnacentral:miRNA from 1 species